UCUGCUGGUACCAGGUCAUUCUGCCUGCUGGUACCAAGUCAUUCUGCUGGUACCAGGUCAUUCUGCUGGUACCAGGUCAUUCUGCCUGCUGGUACCAGGUCAUUCUGCUGGUACCAGGUCAUUCUGCUGGUACCAGGUCAUUCUGCC